UACGUAGGGUGCAAGCGUUGUCCGGAAUUAUUGGGCGUAAAGAGCUCGUAGGCGGUUCGUCGCGUCGGCUGUGAAAUCCCGAGGCUCAACCUCGGGUCUGCAGUCGAUACGGGCGGACUGGAGUUCGGCAGGGGAGACUGGAAUUCCUGGUGUAGCGGUGAAAUGCGCAGAUAUCAGGAGGAACACCCGGUGGCGAAGGCGGGUCUCUGGGCCGAUACUGACGCUGAGGAGCGAAAGCGUGGGAGCGAACGG
rnacentral:rRNA from 1 species